rnacentral:tRNA from 1 species
GCAUUCAUGGUCCAGAGGUAGAAUUCUCACCUCCCUUGCGGGAGACCUGGGUUCGAUUCCCAGCCAAUGCA